rnacentral:rRNA from 1 species
GACGAACGCUGGCGGCGUGCCUAAUACAUGCAAGUAGAACGCUGAAGAGAGGAGCUUGCUCUUCUUGGAUGAGUUGCGAACGGGUGAGUAACGCGUAGGUAACCUGCCUUGUAGCGGGGGAUAACUAUUGGAAACGAUAGCUAAUACCGCAUAACAAUGGAUGACCCAUGUCAUUUAUUUGAAAGGGGCAAAUGCUCCACUACAAGAUGGACCUGCGUUGUAUUAGCUAGUAGGUGAGGUAACGGCUCACCUAGGCGACGAUACAUAGCCGACCUGAGAGGGUGAUCGGCCACACUGGGACUGAGACACGGCCCAGACUCCUACGGGAGGCAGCAGUAGGGAAUCUUCGGCAAUGGGGGCAACCCUGACCGAGCAACGCCGCGUGAGUGAAGAAGGUUUUCGGAUCGUAAAGCUCUGUUGUAAGUCAAGAACGAGUGUGAGAGUGGAAAGUUCACACUGUGACGGUAGCUUACCAGAAAGGGACGGCUAACUACGUGCCAGCAGCCGCGGUAAUACGUAGGUCCCGAGCGUUGUCCGGAUUUAUUGGGCGUAAAGCGAGCGCAGGCGGUUUGAUAAGUCUGAAGUUAAAGGCUGUGGCUCAACCAUAGUUCGCUUUGGAAACUGUCAAACUUGAGUGCAGAAGGGGAGAGUGGAAUUCCAUGUGUAGCGGUGAAAUGCGUAGAUAUAUGGAGGAACACCGGUGGCGAAAGCGGCUCUCUGGUCUGUAACUGACGCUGAGGCUCGAAAGCGUGGGGAGCGAACAGGAUUAGAUACCCUGGUAGUCCACGCCGUAAACGAUGAGUGCUAGGUGUUGGAUCCUUUCCGGGAUUCAGUGCCGCAGCUAACGCAUUAAGCACUCUGCCUGGGGAGUACGACCGCAAGGUUGAAACUCAAAGGAAUUGACGGGGCCCGCACAAGCGGUGGAGCAUGUGGUUUAAUUCGAAGCAACGCGAAGAACCUUACCAGGUCUUGACAUCCCGAUGCUAUUUCUAGAGAUAGAAAGUUACUUCGGUACAUCGGUGACAGGUGGUGCAUGGUUGUCGUCAGCUCGUGUCGUGAGAUGUUGGGUUAAGUCCCGCAACGAGCGCAACCCCUAUUGUUAGUUGCCAUCAUUCAGUUGGGCACUCUAGCGAGACUGCCGGUAAUAAACCGGAGGAAGGUGGGGAUGACGUCAAAUCAUCAUGCCCCUUAUGACCUGGGCUACACACGUGCUACAAUGGUUGGUACAACGAGUUGCGAGUCGGUGACGGCAAGCUAAUCUCUUAAAGCCAAUCUCAGUUCGGAUUGUAGGCUGCAACUCGCCUACAUGAAGUCGGAAUCGCUAGUAAUCGCGGAUCAGCACGCCGCGGUGAAUACGUUCCCGGGCCU